CCUCAAACACCAAAAAGAAACGGUAAGGUCUUUGCAUGCUCUGAGUCCAGUUACACCGAACACAAAUCCAUCACCCCUAAAGAAAAUGAGCAAUCGAACAAGCAGCUCUCUGACAAGACCCAUGUAAUACGGUAUUGCUGCCCUGGGUAAGAAGUAAGAGCAUAAGCAGGUGCAUUUCCUGGUAAGUAACUUGGAAAUUGGCAUUGGAAUUUUGCCAUUCUAUUAAGGGGGCGGGGGUGCUGUGUCAGUCGAGAAGUUAGAGAAGAACACAAAAACACACGGGUUUUUUUUUUGUUUUUGUUUUUUGUUUUGUUUUUGUAAGAUUUAGCCUAGGAACAACCACACAAUGCCAGACACAGCAACUUAGGCUCACAUGACCGGUGAAGUACCCCAACAGCCUGCUCCCCACCCCUGCAUAGCUUGAGAAUGAAGGGAUUGCUCUCACCUAUAUUAAUAAUUAGGGCUUCCAUACAAUAAUGUAUAAAAUGUCAAACUUCAACUUUCUGAAUAGACUGCCUGACUGUAUAAAUCUAUUAGGGGAUAAAUUUUUAUUUUCCCCUCAACUUGGCACCUUCCCUUUUUGCGUCUUCAAACAUGGAUUUCCAUACUGAAAGCUUACCUGCACCUGCUAAAACAGUUAAUUAGGUAACAAUGGAAUUCACCCCAAAUAUGCAAGAAGGGAGUGCAGACCCUCAGAGGGAGCUUCAGGUUAGUAAGCCAUGUGAUGUGGGGGUGUUCGAUCUCCUCUCUCUCAACCUGUUUCUUCUACCAAACAGUGAGAAUUCCUGUGGCCAGAGGAUUUUUUGAAGUAACUAAAGGCCAAAUAUACACUUAGUACAGAGCGUGACUUUGUUGAUCCAACUUAUACACAAGAUUGAGUAAAUUGAACUUCUGCAGAAAUUUCAGUGACUUUUGCCUAUGUAGGAGCUAACUUAACUCAGUUGCCUUAAACCAUUAAAUCGAUUUUGAUUGAUUUAUCAUAAGGCCAAGAACAUGUGGAUUUAGAAGAAAUUGUGACCUGGAUUCUAAGGUGAUGGACUUCCCUAAAUGUACAGCACAAUUGGUUGAAAUUGCAGACGUGGAAGUCCUUUUCAAUUUGCUAGCAAAAAUAAUUCAAACCGAUCAGAAACCUUUUGGGUUUCAUUUUUCCCUUUCCUUGAGUAAGCAUAUUGAAAAUAAGAUAAAGGGCUUGAGUUAGCAAAGAGACACCUUAUGGUCCAUGGUCUCGGUGAUAUUUGAGGUCUUGACGACUGGCCAAGUCAGACUCUGAAACAGCCUGUCAGUUUCUAUGCAGGGGAAGAGAACCACUCAGGAGCAGCUGCCUUCUGCCUUUCCUUUAAAAGCUAACCUUAGUGGGGCGCCUGCGUGGUUCAGUCGGUUAAGUGUCCAACUCUUGGUUUCAGCUCGGGUCAUGAACUCGCGGUUUGUGGGCUCGAGCCCCGCAUGCGGCUCCAUGCGGACAGUGCGGAGCCUGCUUGAGAUUCUCUCUCCCUGCCUGCCCCUCCCUGCUCACUCUGUCUCUUAAAAUAAACUUGAAAUAAAAUAAAAUAAAACUUAACCUUAAAGAAGCCUGAACAGAAGCUUUUUAGGCUGAACAUAGUUUAACCUACUUCUCAGAACGAGUAAAUGGGCUCAAAGCAGGGAGAUGAAAGAAUUUGUUCCAAGUUCCAAAGGCUGCACCAUAGUAUUUACCAUAUUCCAUACCAUUUGUAUAUUAUGACUCACACCAAGGAAAACCUUGUGUUUGAUGUAUUAAAAAAUCCUAUAUUGCCUUUUGGAAAAGCAUCUCAACCUAAAGCUUCAGAACUCCACAUGGAGCACAUUUUUCCGAUUAGGUGCUACUCUUCUGGGAUGUAUAUAAAACUUUGUGCAGAGGAGAGAGGCUACCUUGAUUAUUUGGUAUGAACAGAUCCCACACUUCCCACUCUGUGCAGCUGCAGUCUUAGCUGAUAGCUGUUGCUAUUGCGUAGCCACCCCAAUAUGUGCUUUAGAAAAGUGUGUAGAGGUUAGAAUGUGCUCACCUCACUAUGUGCCAAUUAACAGGCUGCAGUCUUGAAUAAGACGUGGUCCAGUAACAUAGCUGCCUUUGCUGUAACAAGAACGACCCUCUUCCAGACACCUAAGAAAACCUAUAAACUCAUGAGGCAGUUGCAUUACCACACAGAUUGUGAGGAAAGAGCCGGUCACUGUUGCUUGUUAAAAGCAAGGAGAAAUUCUUUUGACAGUCCAUAGUCUACAAGUCUAUAAAGACUGCUGACUAGCCAGAUUUAGAGAAAAGUUUGUUGAAGUGUCGUUUGUAGGAAACAAAUGCAUGUUUCCAACUUGGUCUCCCAAUUUCUACCAUCCAGGAAAAAACAGUACAUCCAUGGCAAUUACCAUCUACUUUUUUUGUUGUUCGACGUGAUUUAUGGAAAAAUAUAAUCUUUGCUAGUUUUGUAUCAUGCACUCACUUUACAUAAACUUCACUAUAUUCUGGAACUUCAUAAAUGUUUCAUGGCUAUAUACAGCUCUACUAUAGAGAUGUACUAUGAUAAAUUCCUUAUUAGGUACUAUUGUUAAUAUUACAGUGAAUGUUUGCUUAUAGGAUUGUCCACAUCUCCUUAUAAGAAUUAUCCUAAGAAUAUUCUAGAAAUGAGUUAUUGGUACAGAGGGUAUGAGCACUUUUAAAACUUUACUAGCUUAUAGCCUUCCUUCCCCUGGCCCCAACUCCAAAGCAGGCAAUGCUUCUCUUGCCUCAUUCUUGCUUUGAGUAUAUCCUUUAAUAGCUGAGAAAUGGUGUAUUUCAUUAGAAAGACUCUUAAACCACGGACCUUCUUUUUCAGAAGUGGUGGUAUCCAGACACUAAAUUCUGCAGAGGUCACUGGGCACUUUGCUCAUUUACUGCUUCCAAUAACUUCUAGGACCUUAAUAUUUUCUUCUCAGCCCUGCUUUUCUUGUUCUAGGUGGUCAACCAUUCACCCACCUCCAGCCACCUCUGAUUUACCCCAAACCUCUUCUCUGCUUCCUAUACUUGAAAUGAGUAUCAUUAUGUCCUAGAGGAUGAACCUCCUAUGAAGCUAACACAACUUGACUCAUAAGUGGAAGAGGUCAGAAGGAGGGUAGAGGCUUGAAUUAAGAGUAGGGUUUUCCAGGGGCACCUGGGUGGCUCAGUCAGUUGAGCGUACAACUUCAGCACAGGAGGGGAUCUCACGGUUUGUGAGUCCGAGCCCUGCAUCAGGCUCACUGCUGAUGGAGCCUACUUUGGAUCCUCUGUCCCCCUUGCUCUCUGCCCCUCCCCCACAUGUGCUCAAAAAUAAACAAACCAAAAAAAAAAGGAUUUUCUGCUCCUGGCAUGGUCAUGGUGGCCUACAAAGUACAGGGAACCCUACUUGUAAUGGAUUCUUGCAGCUAGGAAGUUUUAAGUCUAAAAUAUCUCCAUGUCAGCUUAAACUAGUUUUGUCUCCAGCAAGCUGAUGUUCAAGUCUCACAUGUCUAGUUUUUAAAGAUUAGUGGCCUGGCAAUCAUGAACAUUUGCUACUUAACUAAAGGAGCUUGGGUAGGUCACUCGUUCCUUCCAGGUUUCUGUUUACUCAAAUGUAAAAUAGAGUUGCACUAAUCACCAAUGAUUAAGGACCCUUUGGGAUCUAGAAGUCUAUACUCCUGGUUGGGGGGCAAGGAUUUGUUCUAAACAGAUAACUCCCCUCUUCCAAAAAGAAUUUGCUGUGUCUUGGAGUAUGAAACCAAGACAAGCCAUUUAAAAUGAAGAGUCACCGCCUAAAAUGGUAAAUAAUUAUAUGAGGAAAAAAAAAAAAAAAAACUAGAUCACACAAGCAAACACUACCUAAGCACUAAAUAUCAAGCUAUGGCAAUCCUUCGAUACCUCCCCAGGAUCAUUUAAAAUUAGUACUGCAUUGUUGAAUAGUUUCCUAAUGGCACUGUGACAAGUUACCACAUAGUUAAUAACAUAAGACGCAAAUUUAUUCUCUCAUCGUUCUGUACACUAGAAGUCCUGGUCUUAUGGGGCUAAAAAUCAAGGUUCUGGCAGGGUUGGCUCCUUCUAGAGAUCUCAGGGGAGGAUUCCUGAUCUCUUCCAGCUUCUGGCUGUUUACAUUGCUUGGCUUUCAACCAUAUCACUCCAGUCUCUGCAUCUGUGGUCACACUGCCUUCUCUGUAGUCUAACCUCUUGUGCCUCCCUCUUAUAAGGGCGAUUGCAUGUAGGGCCUACCCAGAUAAUCCAGGACAAUCCCUAGUCUCAAAAUCCUUAAUUUAUCACAUCUACAAAGUUAUUUUUGCCACAUAAGGUAACAUUCACAGGUGACUUUGGAGCCAUAUCUAACCUAACACCCUGAUCUUAAGAUAUACAGGAAAAGCAAAUACUCCCAUGGAAAUCCAAAGUGACAAGCACAAUUUACUAAUGCCUACGGAAUAAGGUAAACUCUCAAUUUCAGAAAGAGUUUAAUUAAAACUUGGUGGUGCGGCCCCAGGAUACUCUAAUUCUGUUUAGACAGUUUGUAAUUCUAUUUACAUGUCCUCUGGCAUUUGAGUUUUUCUUCCAUUUUUUUUUUAAUAACCUUGAGAAUUCACCUACCAUACAAUUCACCCAUUUAAAGUAUAUAGUUAAGUGGCUUUUUGUGUAUUUACAGAUUUGUGCAACUAUCACCACUUUUAGGACAUUUUUAAUCACCUCUAAAAAAAUACCCUGAACCUUUGAGCUAUCACCCUUCACCCCCUACCUUCACUCCCCAGCCCUAGGAAAUCACUAGUCCACUUUCUGUCUCUACAGACUUCUGUUCUGGACUUUCAUAUGAAUGGAAUCCUAUAGUAUGUGGUCUUUUGGGAUUGGCCUCUUCCACUUUGCAUAAUAUUGAAGUUUCCUCCAUGUUGUGGCACGUACAUUCUCUCCUAUGGCCAGAUAAUAUUCCCUUGUAUGGCUGUGUGGAGUUUUGCGCAUUCAUUCAUCCACUGAUAGACAUUUGGAUGGUUUCUACCUGUAAGCAAUUUUGAAUAAUGUUAUCCCUCUACUUUUGCUCAAGACAAUAUUAACUUUUUCUUCAAAAUCUCUUCUCCUUUCCCUUCUUUACUGACCAUGCCUAAAAACUUUCUUCAUGAUAAUAUUGUUCUAGAGCAGUGGGUCCAAAUAUGAAUGGUAUUUCUUCCAACAUUUAACGAGUUAAAAUUUUGUUCCUCACAGUCUGAUUAGUCCUUCACUCUCCAUAAAAUUCUUGAACAUUAGCUUCUUCCUAUUAUAUUCUUUUUUCUAUUCUAGGAUAUAGAAGGAUAAAUCUUUGACCAUACUUUAACUCUACAAUGUCCAUCGUGGUUUUGAACUUUCCGUGGGAUGAAACAUCUGAAUUUCUUUAUCCUGCACAACAGGAAAUAGUGCAUUAAGUUCCUUGCAAGUCUUUGAAUAACCAAUAGUCUAAGCCCUACUUGAUAACCAUAUUAUAAAAAAAGACCAGUAUGGUAAACUAGAAGAAUCUGCUACCUACCUUUAAUUGUGAAGUACUUACUGUUUCUCAAUGGAGAUUUCAAGAAAUGAAAAAAAAAACUCUCUUUGGAAAAUAAAGGUGCUUUGGAGACUGAGAGGAACUAUAUAGGGUCAUUUGCUUAUUCAUAUUGGAAGAUCAGUUUUGAACUUAAUAAUCAAACCUUAAAAACCAAUUCACAUUGCAUUAGAAAUCUGUUUUAACAAAAACAGUUUACAACAUGUCCUUAGUGCACCCAAAUCAACAAAACACACAUUAGAAGCUAGGAGCCCUAGGCAAUGAAAGGUAAUGUAUUAAUUUCCCAGGACUCUAAUUUACAGAUAUCUAGCCAUUUCUCUUAAAAGCUAGAACUUAUUUUAGCAAUUCUCUGCAAACAAAACUGACAUGAUUUCCCUAAUACCUGUGGCUUUAAGCGCUCAGUGACAGCUUUCACAGGUUCACAAUUGAGAACCCACAUCACUCUUUGUAUAGGAUAUACACCGUUUUCACGGCUUCAUUUUUUUUUUUUCUGAAUCCUUUUCUCAGCUGUAGAAACUACAUAUUUGAUGUUGUUUUAGGUUGGGUUCUCCACGAGACAAAUGCGCAGAUGGCGUUAGGAGAAAAGGUUGAUUAAGAAUUAGCACCUGUGGAAGGAGAGCUGCAGGACUUGAAGGGGCAGGGGAGGGCACAGAACAUUAUGCACACCUGACAAAGCCCCUACCAGUUUUAGGGGAAACUCCAGAGCAAAAGGUGCCCAUUAGGGAGUCCAUGCUGGGGAGAAAGGACUAGGCCCUUGUAUGGCCACCUCUCUCAGUCACUGUCCGGGAACAGCCCCAAGAAGAGCCCAGGACAAGCAUGACCCGGGUUUGAAGGCUCAAGUAGAGCCUGAAGAAGCUGGAGACCGUCCGCUAAUCAUACUGCAAGUGAGUGGAGUCGCCUCCAAUGCUGCAUUUCCAUGCCAGUCACAUGUGUCAGCACAUCAACAGCCUGUCUCACCUACAGCCCUUGCACCAAAGACAGGUUGGUUAUUAAGUGUAUAUAGACUUCACUAUUAACUACAACCAACCCUGUUGUGUCAACGUGCUACUGCCUGAACAUACCUGCGAUUUCCUUCUGAUGUGGUCAGCUAUGAAUGUGGGGAAAAUAAUUCAAUCCCCCAGGCUUGGUGAUCAAUAUGCUGAAAUCUCACAGCAAAAAAUCACAAGUGAAAUAAAGUUUCCAAUACUAUGUAUUAGGUAGUUGAGGUGAGGCCUUUCCUUCUCUAAUUCCAGCUGAUCUACUUUCCCCUUGUAUUGCUGUACAACAAGAUCCCAGAAUCUGUGGAGACAGAUGAAAAAGCAGGCCUCAAGCCUGCCGUAGAGGAAUUUCCGAUUAACAGAGAAACAGGAUGAAGAGUUGCUUCAGUGUCUAAGUGAUGGGAACUCAGUGAGGUCUUGUCAGACUUCUUGGAGUUUUGAGGAGAACUCUCAAAGAAAGGAGAGCUAGGUCUUGGAGGUUUUGUGAGGGGAGGUGUCCAAGUGGGAAAACAGCAUGUCAAGGAUGGAUGGGUAGAAGUAGGAGAGAUUCUCUAGUUGAAAGGAAAGGAGAGUUUGGGCCCAAAGUAUAGGAUGUGAACAAGAUAGCUAAAUGUGUGGCAAGGAUAAUUUGAGAGUUAAGAUUUGCCCAGGAUCCUCUCUGCAGAUUACUGCCUCUUAACUCACCACAUGGUGUUAGUGACAAGUCGACUUUCAGGUCCAUUCUGUGUAUCUGCCCAAUUGUUCUGGUACUCAAGACUAACGUAACUAAGGCAGCUGCACAGGUGAGCAAGUCUCAAGAAGUGGACACUUGCUUUCCUGGAUGGUUUCUAGGCGAUCACCACUCACUGGAAUGUUUCCAAGUUGGUUUCUUGUAGGUAUUUCAAUACCUACUUUGAAUGCUUCCAAUUUACAACUUGGUCUCUUUGAAGUCUUACAUGUAAAUAUCUUAAUUCAAAAUUAGCACUGGACUCAAAACAGCUUGCAAAGAGUUGAGAAACUUAAACGAUACAAAACUACAGCACAAAGCCAGUGAAAAGUAUGGCAGUUGUGCCAUCUAGAAUGAUCAUAUCCCAAUGUGAGAUUCUGAGUCUAUAUAGUUUAAACUAAGUAAGACAAGCAUGUAGGCACUCUGGGCAAAUUAACGAGGGUUCAUUCAUUCUAACAAACAUAAGUAGCGCCUGCUGUAUGUUAGGAAUGAUAGGAAAAUAAGGUCUCUGCUCACAGGGAGCUUAAUCUCUAGUGGAUGGAGACGAGUAUCAACUAGGGAUAAGUGCUAUACAGAAUUAAAGGGGUGUACUAGCAAGUAACUGAAACAAUUCUAUAGACUAUGGAUGGCAUCUCUGUGGAUUUUGUUUAGCACUCCUGUCCAAUAAAACUUUCUGUAAUGAUGAAAGUGUUCUAUAUCUACAUUGCCCUAUACCGUAGCAUUAGCUACAUAUGGCUACUGAGCACUUGAAAUGUGGCUGAGGCACUGAAUUUUUAUUUUAGUGUAAAUCUAAAUAGCCACAUGUGGGUAGGGGCUAUCAUUAGACGAUGGAGGCACGAAGUCACAAUAUGGAGGUCUUCCAUUUAUCCAUGACAUUAACUAUACUUAAUUUCACCUCCCCCACUAGCCAAUAAAGGAAUGAAAAGACCCACAAAGAAAACUGAAGACACUUGUAUAGAAGAGAUCAACCAUCUCAGAAAGCAAAAUGAGUAAAGAAUUGGGAAUCAAUACAGCAGAACAAAGCUGAAGCCUAAGUCCUGGAAUCAGGAAAGCCAGCAAGAAGCAAGCCGAUUCCUGCCACAGAACUCCCAUCAGCUCAGGAAUAAGAGGCACCUGGUCCUCAGAGCCGGGAGAGACUGAAAACAUAAAAUAGCUGUGAAUCUUUAAAAUGCACAUCUGAGCACCCUUAUAUGCCUCACUAAACGAGGCCUGGUGACUACCCCACCCUGCUGGCAGCCUGAAAGAAAACCAGAGUGAAAAUUUACCCCCAAGAUAAAACUGAAGAGGGCUUGACCUCAGGGACACCAGAUAAGACAUAAAGGCCAAGAGUAAAUUCAGUAGAGAUGGAAUAAAGCUGAGGAAACCACCCAAAAAUGAUAAAGAAGCAGUUUGAGCAAAGACCAUUAGA
rnacentral:lncRNA from 1 species